CCUACGGUAGUCAGCAGUGAGGAAUAUUGGUCAAUGGGCGCGAGUCUGAACCAGUCAAGUAGCGUGAAGGAUGAAUGCCCUCCGGGUUGUAAACUUCUUUUAUAAAGGAAUAAAGUGAUGCACGUGUGGCGUUGUGUAUGUACUUUAUGAAUAAAGAUCGGCUACCUCCGUGCCAGCAGCCGCGGUUAUACGGAGGGUCCGAGCGUUAUCCGGAUUUAUUUGGUUUAAAGGGUGCGGAGAUGGAUUGUUAAGUUAGUUGUGAAAGUUUGCGGCUCAACCGUAAAAUUGCAAUUGAUACUGGCAGUCUUGAGUACAGUUGAGGUAGGCGGAAUUCGUGGUGUAGCGGUGAAAUGCUUAGAUAUCACGAAGAACUCCGAUUGCGAAGGCAGCUUACUAAACUGCCACUGACAUUGAUGCUCGAAAGUGUGGGUAUCAAACAGGAUUAGAUACCCGGGUAGUC
rnacentral:rRNA from 1 species